AAACCGGAGGAAGUGGGGAGUGACGUCAAGUCAUCAUGGCCCUUACGGCCUGGGCUACACACGUGCUACAAUGGUCGGUACAAAGGGUUGCCAAGCCGCGAGGUGGAGCUAAUCCCAUAAAACCGAUCGUAGUCCGGAUCGCAGUCUGCAACUCGACUGCGUGAAGUCGGAAUCGCUAGUAAUCGUGAAUCAGAAUGUCACGGUGAAUACGUUCCCGGGCCUU
rnacentral:rRNA from 1 species